rnacentral:tRNA from 1 species
UCCCUGGUGGUCUAGUGUUAGGAUUCAGCAUUUUUACUGCUGUGGCCUGGAUUCAAGCCUUGGUCUGGGAA